rnacentral:rRNA from 1 species
ACGGAAGGCAGCAGUGGGGAAUAUUGCACAAUGGGCGAAAGCCUGAUGCAGCGACGCCGCGUGAGUGAAGAAGUAUCUCGGUAUGUAAAGCUCUAUCAGCAGGGAAGAAAAUGACGGUACCUGACUAAGAAGCCCCGGCUAACUACGUGCCAGCAGCCGCGGUAAUACGUAGGGGGCAAGCGUUAUCCGGAUUUACUGGGUGUAAAGGGAGCGUAGACGGUUUGGCAAGUCUGAAGUGAAAUGCGGGGGCUCAACUCCUGAACUGCUUUGGAAACUGUCGAACUAGAGUGCAGGAGAGGUAAGUGGAAUUCCUAGUGUAGCGGUGAAAUGCGUAGAUAUUAGGAGGAACACCAGUGGCGAAGGCGGCUUACUGGACUGCAACUGACGUUGAGGCUCGAAAGCGUGGGGAGCAAACAGGAUUAGAUACCCUGGUA